rnacentral:rRNA from 1 species
UACGGAGGGGGCUAGCGUUGCUCGGAAUUACUGGGCGUAAAGGGAGCGUAGGCGGAUAUUUAAGUCGGGGGUGAAAGCCCAGGGCUCAACCCUGGAAUUGCCUUCGAUACUGGAUAUCUAGAGUAUGGGAGAGGUGUGUGGAACUCCGAGUGUAGAGGUGAAAUUCGUAGAUAUUCGGAAGAACACCAGUGGCGAAGGCGACACACUGGCCCAUUACUGACGCUGAGGCUCGAAAGCGUGGGGAGCAAACAGG